UUGAAAGGGAAACGAUUGAAGUCAGUCAUGCCGGUGGGAAUCAACUUAGGGGAAACUCUGGGUGCACUUCUUCGCUUGGCAAGUCAACGUCGAUUUUGAAUGUCAUAAAAUAAUUGGGGGAAGGUAGUUCCUUCGGGAGUGUUAUAGCCCUUGAUAGAUGUGAUGCUUGGGGUCGAGGAUUGCAACGGAUACUCUUCGGGGCUAGCCGCCUGAUCUCUAAUUGGUGUUGGGUUACGGAUAGCAUGCUGACCGUGAUCUAAUUACUGGUUAAAAGGUUAGAGUGUGCAUAAAUUCGUUAAGGAUGU
rnacentral:rRNA from 1 species